UUUACAACACUUUUCACAUCCGACCGUUGAGAAGAAAAUAUCUGAGGCUAUUUAAUCGGCUGGCCUAGUCGUCUCUCUCCAACCCUAACCUUCUGAUUCGAAACUGAUCUGGGUUUAGGACUUUAGGGUUUCUGAGAAUUGAGAUGAAGUUUUAGGUUAGUGUAUCUUACAAUAUGCAGGAAUUGUCUGUGCCAGAUAAUCGCUGUGGCCGACUAAAGCUUUCGUCUUCGCCAGACUUGAGAGCUAAUGCUGCCCUAACCUUCCUUGGAUGUCUGAGAUCUUAGUUUUGUUUUUCUCUUUUGUUGUUUCUUUUCCCAAAAACAUUUGCUGUGGCAGAUUAUGCGUUUUUGCUCGUCUGAUACUCUUGUUUAAAAUGUUUAUUAGUUUUCUGUUUUGAAUUUGGUAUUUUUAAGUAAUUGCAUUUACAUAUUUGGAAUUUCCUAGCUGAUGAUGUCAAUGAUGAUAACUCUAAGGCUUGUUUCUCAAAACAUUCGCAGUGGCCGACUAAAGCUUUCGCCUUCGCCAGGCUUGAGAGCUAAUGCUGCCUUAACCUUCCUUGGAUGUCUGAGAUCUGAAAUUUGAUCUUCUCCUUUGUUGUUUCUAUAUUGUAAUUUCUAUAGAAUUUUGACGGAGGAUUUCUGCGAAGAAAUCCUUUACAAUACGGGAGCAAACAUGUUAUGUUUGUAUAUUUCCUUAGUUAACGUCAAAUAUCAAUAUCAACAUCGUUAAUGGUUUUCCUUUUGGGAUUUCCUCCGAUUUGAUUUGUCUCAUAUUCCAUCACCUUGUGGAGCGGCUUUGCUGCCAUUACCUCGUUGGACUUGCCAUGGGGCUUACAUUUUGUUACUAAGUUUUGAUCUUUUUCUAUUUGCUACUGUUUUUGUAUGUAUUGCCAUAGUUUCAUUAAUUUACUUUGAUGUUUUCCAUAUAUAUUGCCCAUGAUGGUAUCAAUCAUCAAUUACCAUCUUUCGGGACUGAAUGGCCCUUUGGGCCUUGCUGUUAAUAUGCAAAUCUAAGGCAUUUUCUUUA